CCGGUAAUCCCAGCUACUUGGGAGGCUGAGACAGAAGAAUUGCUUGAACCCGGGAAGCAGAGGUUGUGUUCAAGCAAGUUUGCUGCUGUUGGAUUUCAUAAAACUUUGACAGAUGAACUGGCUGCCUUACAAAUAACUGGAGUCAAAACAACAUGUCUGUGUCCUAAUUUCGUAAACACUGGCUUCAUCAAAAAUCCAAGUACAAGUUUGGGACCCACUCUGGAACCUGAGGAAGUGGUAAACAGGCUGAUGCAUGGGAUUCUGACUGAGCAGAAAAUGAUUUUUAUUCCAUCUUCUAUAGCUUUUUUAACAACAUUGGAAAGGAUCCUUCCUGAGCGUUUCCUGGCAGUUUUAAAACGAAAAAUCAGUGUUAAGUUUGAUGCAGUUAUUGGAUAUAAAAUGAAAGCGCAAUAAGCACCUAGUUUUCUGAAAUCUGAUUUACCAGGUUUAGAUUGAUGUCAUCUAAUAGUGUCAGAAUUUUAAUGUUUGAACUUCUGUUUUUUCUAAUUAUCCCCAUUUCUUCGAUAUCAUUUUUGAGGCUUUGGCAGUCUUCAUUUACUACCACUUGUUCUUUAGCUAAAAGCUGAUUACAUAUGAUAUAAACAGAGAAAUACCUUUAGAGGUGACUUUAAGGAAAAUGA
rnacentral:sRNA from 1 species